CCUACGGGAGGCAGCAGUGAGGAAUAUUGGUCAAUGGGAGAGAUCCUGAACCAGCCAAGCCGCGUGAGGGAAGACGGCCCUAUGGGUUGUAAACCUCUUUUGUCGGAGAACAAAACCCGGGACGUGUCCCGGACUGCGUGUAUCCGAAGAAAAAGCAUCGGCUAACUCCGUGCCAGCAGCCGCGGUAAUACGUAGGGGGCGAGCGUUAUCCGGAUUUACUGGGUGUAAAGGGAGCGUAGACGGUUCUGCAAGUCUGAAGUGAAAGCCCGUUGCUUAACCGCGGAACGGCUUUGGAAACUGUGGAACUGGAGUGCUGGAGAGGCAAGCGGAAUUCCUAGUGUAGCGGUGAAAUGCGUAGAUAUUAGGAGGAACACCAGUGGCGAAGGCGGCUUGCUGGACAGUAACUGACGUUGAGGCUCGAAAGCGUGGGGAGCAAACAGGAUUAGAUACUCUGGUAGU
rnacentral:rRNA from 1 species